UUUUAAGUUAAAAAACCUGUGUGACUGCGGCUCUUUAGCGCAUCAAAAGAAAAAGCCGUGAGGAUUCUAGACCCUAUCAGGCAAGAGAAGAAUUCGAGUGGGACGGUGGAAUCCCCUUUUAGUGAGACUAAAAGUUAAAACUCCAUGGUAAAUUAGUAGGCCUCGAAAGUGUGCGAAAAAGACGUCUGUAAAUAAACAAAUAAAAGUGUGAAUGAUUGUGUGAGUGAACGAGAAACAGAAAUACCUUUUGGUAUUUUUCUCUCAUACCAAACCAGUAGGAAACAAAGCAAUAAACCUCCCAGGAAGCAAAGGCAAGAAUUCUCCACUCGAAAGAGUUGAAGUGAGAAUUACCAGGAAAGGUAUUUUAAUUAUUGCCCCACUGAUAACAUCCCAACGUUUAGAACACCCUAGGUGAUAACCCAGCGUUGGACCAAAAUACAUAAAAAACAGCUCCAGUAUGGGCAAGAGUCAAAGUAAGCCCAAAACUAGGGAGGAUUUACAGUGUAAAGAUUGGAAGUAUAUAGAAAAACAGGAUCCUGAUAAAAUAAAAUAUUUGGAUAAAUGGGUAAAAGAUUACGGGUUUAAUGGUAAACUAAACAUCAAAACAAUUAAUCUACUACAGGAAACAAUACUAAAAAACACCAACAAAGAUCCUAAAAAGAUGAAAAAGGCAGGUUAUGAGGAAACCAAAUAUUGGAUGAAAGUAGCUGAAAAACGUGAAGCUGGAGAAAAAGACAGAAAAAAGAGGGAAAAAAUAGGAGAAGUAGAUGAGAAAACUGAAAAAAACAAGUAAUGUUUCACAGACAGGAGGAUGAUGAGACAGGGCCGGUAGGAAGAAGGGCAGAACGGAGAAAUGAGGAAGGUGCCUCAGGGGGACCUCCUCCUACAGCUCCACUAUACCCUGAUAUUCCCCAAGAGGACCCCCCUGAGUAUGAUACCACGCCUCCCAGAGCACUAGGAUCAACCCGAGGUACUGCAGGCCUCGGAUGGUCUAAGAAAUUGGGAGGACUUUUUUCCCCAACUAGUCCUCAAGCUAUAAAUAUGAAAGUAGUAGAUGAGUAUCCUAUGAUACAAGUGGCUAAUCCAAACACGAAUGAAGGCCAACCACCAACAAUCCUUGUUUAUAGAACUUGGAACAUGAAUGAUGUUAAAAAAGCCUUAGAGGGCAUAACUCCACACAAAGAAGAUGUCACUCAAUUUGUAAUUGACAUGGAAAAUGUGCGAAAAUCCUAUCAUCUAAAUGGACAAGAAGUCCAACAAAUCUGGAUGUGUGCUCUGGGACCAGAUUGGCAUAACGUUGGAGGAGAUUGUGCUCUGAACACAGCAGGUGAUGGUCCCCUUCCAUGGGACAGCCAACAAAUGGCAGUAGGAGUAAACGGUCUGGCAACCAGAGCCACAGCCAGGUUUAGACAAAAAGCAAAUUACACUGAAAUAGGCAGAGCAAGACAAAAAGACGAUGAAACUUUUGAUGACUAUAGACACCGCAUGACUACAGUGUUUAAAAUCCAUUCGGGACUGACUCACGACAAUAAUGACCAAGGAGCUUACAGACAACAGUUGAAAAAUGCUUUACAUGCAGGCUCAAAAGACGCAGUCAGAAGCUGGGUGCAGAAGCACUACAUUGGACUGUCUACUGAUACCCUUGAUGAGUACAUUAAUCAUGCUUUGCACGCAGAAAAAGUUGCUAAAGAAAAAAAGAAAAAGACAGUAGGAACGUUUUUUGGUGAGGUAGAGACUGAGGAAGUGUUUUACCAUGACCAGAAUAGAGAGAGGGGAAGAAGCAAUAGAGGGCGUAGAUUUCAUAGAAAAGGACAGAGAGGAGGCAGAGGCAGAGGAGGUUUUGGACAGAGAAACAGGCAGAGAAACAGACAGAGAGAAACAGGAUGUUGGAACUGUGGGAAAGAUGGACACUUCGCUGUAGAUUGUCAAGAGACUAAACAGAAAAGCUUAUGAGCUUCACACUGUGACAGUUAAUAGUUGAACGUUUGGAUGGUGUUAUUAUUGAAAGAAGUGUUUUUCUUUAGAAAGUAGCAUGUUGUGGAGGGUUCAAAGUGUUAAGAAUGAGAGAUUUAGGAUUAAGUUUUAAUGGGGGAACGUAUUCAUGAAAGUGAUGAAGAAAGCAUAUGUUGACUAACGUCUGAGUGUUUAUGGUAAACUAGAGAUAUCCAAAGUAAUAUUCUGUAGCUCUGUAGUCGCCUCAAGAAAACUGUGAACAGGUGCACACAUUGAAAAUACAGAAUGACUUAUUAUUCACCUGCAUAGGUCUGAAUGUGUUUUAAACUGAGAGUAUUGAUUCAUCUAGAUUUAAAUCUUUGAGUAACUGGUGGCUGUUGUUGUGGCCAGUAUUAAUGUUCCAUUAAUAAGUGAUACAGUGAAAAAUAUUAUAAAACAAAUAAUAUUGUGCAUUAAUGAAAAGUGACCAAAGAUAAGGUAUUAAAAGCAGAACAAUUACCCUCACACUACUCUGCCCAAGCUGCAGAACUAGUGGCAUUAACAGAGGCAUGUAAAUUUAUGAAGAAUAAAGAUGUUACUAUCUAUACAGAUAGUAAGUAUGCCUUUGCUACAGUUCAUACUUUUGCACAGUAUUGGCAAAAUAGAGGAAUGAUCACAUCUACAGGGAAACCAGUAACACAUGCAGACCUCUUAUCUAACUUACUCAAGGCAGUAGUGUUACCUAAACACCUCGCAGUUUGUAAAUGUGCAGCUCAUACCUCAGGGACAGAUCAAGUAUCACUAGGGAAUGCAUUUGCAGACAAAACAGCUAAACAAGCAGCCGAGGGACAGAUAAAAGUGCUUAUGCUGACCUCGGACACUGAUAUGACUGAUACAACACUCCAAGACAUGCAACAACAAGCACCACAAAAAGAAAAAGACUUGUGGGCAAAGCACGGAGCAGAACUACAGAAUGACAUCUAUGUAUGACUAAAAAAAAAAACAAUCCUUCCACACAAUCUAUAUAAAUGGGCUGCAAUAUUGAGCCAUGGUGUUACACAUGUCUCAACAGGAGGGAUGGUAUGGAUUUAACACUUAUUCAAAAAAAUUUUGUAGAGCAUGCUUUACCUGUGCUAAGCACAAUCCUCAGGGAAACUUAAGACCUAGGAGAGGGCGUUUCCCUUCACCACAGUAUCCGUUUCAAGCAAUACAUAUGGAUUUUAUAGAGUUAAAUCAGAGUGAAGGAAAAAAGUAUUGUCUGGUCAUAAUAGAUGCCUUCUCUAAAUGGGUAGAGCUGUUUCCAACCAAACACCCAGACGCAUUAACAGUGGCAAAAGCGUUAUGUAAAGACAUAAUACCCCGUUAUGGCAUUCCGGAAAAAACUUUAUAGCGAUAAUGGAGCACAUUUUGUAAACCAAUUGAUAAAAAAGAUAGGAAUAAUGUUUCAUAUCGAUUUAAAAAAUCACUGCGCAUAUCAUCCUCAAAGUGCAGGAUUAGUGGAACGCAUGAAUGGCACUAUAAAAAACCGGUUAAAGAAAUGUAUUGAAGAAACAAGGAGACCUUGGACUCAGUGCAUAGAUUUAGUGAAAAUGUACAUCAAUAUUACAGCAACUUCAGGUUUAACUCCAUAUGAAAUGUUGUUUGGUAGACCAUACAGGCUGCCACAGUUUAAAAAUUAAUGGGAGCUGAGUGGAGAAACCAACCUAGCAGACUAUAUGAGAAAAAUGUUAGAAAAACAAAAAGGAAAACAAGCUGAUGAAAAUCCUUCUGUUUCUCAACAGGAGAUCCAGUUAGUGGGACCAGGCGAUUGGGUGCUGAUACGAAGCAUUAAGAGAAAACAUUGGCACUCUCCCAAGUGGGAAGGGCCUUAUCAGGUAUUGUUGAACACUCCCACAGCCAUUAAAAAUAGCUGAAAGAUCCACGUGGGUACAUCUUACUCAUUGCAAAAAGGUCAUCUCCGACAGUUCCGCAGAGAAAAGUGACUCACAGUCUGAUAAUAGGGUGGACUCAGGUGUGUAGAACCUGAGUAGACUCGAAAGUCAGUGAAGUAUUUCCAAGACACCAGACUCAUUAAAGGACACUCUCGGGGAAGAUGGCGACUAGAUGGAUAAGCGAUGCCAUUAGGUGCUGGGGAGUGACAAUCAUAUUCAUAUUAAUUUUUUAUUUACCUGGUACUUAUGGGAAGCUCCUGGGACUUCCCUAAAUAGCACUCAUGUUCCGCCCACUUCAUCCCAAGGUGUCACCCAACCACAUGCUAGAGUAAAACGUAGAGUACCACACAAAUGACCAGUACAAUGCCCAGCGAGUGGAGGCAGAAACGCUCCUCAUCCUGGCGCACCGAUAUCGACCCUACAUAUAUAGAUGCUAUAGGAGUUCCUCGCGGCGUACCAGACGAGUACAAGAUAGCAGAUCAGGUGGCUGCAGGGUUUGAGUCCCUGUUCUGUUGGUGGUGCACGAUUAACAAAAAUGUAGACCGAAUCAAUUACAUCCAUUACAACGUACAGAAAUUGGGCAAUUGGACACAGAGUGGGUUUGAGGCUGUUCAUGGACAGCUUUCCUCCACAUCACUGAUGGCAUUCCAGAACCGCAUAGCUCUUGACAUGUUGCUUGCAGAGAAAGGAGGGGUGUGUGCUAUGUUUAGAGAGCAAUGUUGCACCUUCAUUCCUAACAACACUGCAGCAGAUGGCAGUCUCACCAAAGCCAUAGACGGGUUGAAAACUCUAAAUGCAAUCUCACCCAUGGAGGACCGCUUUACCCAGAUGUAUCCGCUCCUGCAACAAAACCGAGAUAACGAUGACAACACAGAUGAAGAAUCAGACCAUUGGCCUGAUUUGUUCCCUGAUCCAGGUGACUAUGAGUCACCCCCGUAAGUAAACACAACGUGCACCCUGAGUGUAAACAUUUUGACAGACUCAUAAAAAUGAUCUUGCAGUCGAAAAUCUAGCGAAGAGACUGAUUGAGUGAUAUGAGAAUUUGAGCACAAAAUGUGAUAAACAGGAGGGAAAUGUUAGAAUAAAAUGUAUAUAAGUUAUCCCAUUUAUGUUCUUAGUGGCCUUUUCCUUCCACAGCAAUGCAGUGUGUGUUAUUAAACUUGUGUCUGUGAGAAUUACAGGAAUGGCACCCUGCUAUCUCAUGACUGGCAGGGCAGGCUGACACCGAACCAAGAUAGUCUCACGGUUGCUCCCAAGGCCGCUCUCACGAGAUAGAGCAGUCUCAACAUACCUUGUUUUUUAUUAAGCAUUAUACACCUCCCCCACCCCUUAGAGAACUAUGUAACAGGGAAUCUCCUAAACUGAAUAAAAGAGAGGAGGCUGCAUAGAUGCACUUCAGAGUGAGUAGGAGAUGUAACUGAAUGCAUCUAUGCUUACUCUCCUCGCGAGUAAAAACUU